rnacentral:rRNA from 1 species
CCAUCCCUCGUGUGCCUUGCUCCCACGACUCGCCGCGUCGACGCGAAGAACCUUACCUACGAUCUUGUACAUCUAGUGCCAUCCUAAGAGAUUAGGAGUUCCCUUCGGGGACGCUAAGACAGGUGGUGCAUGGCUGUCGUCAGCUCGUGUCGUGAGAUGUUGGGUUAAGUCCCGCAACGAGCGCAACCCUUGUUAUUAGUUGCCAGCAUUAAGUUGGGCACUCUAAUGAGACUGCCGGUGAUAAACCGGAGGAAGGUGGGGAUGACGUCAAGUCAUCAUGCCCCUUAUGACCUGGGCUACACACGUGCUACAAUGGACAGUACGACGAGAAGCGAGCCUGCGAAGGCAAGCGAAUCUCUGAAAGCUGUUCUCAGUUCGGACUGCAGUCUGCAACUCGACUGCACGAAGCUGGAAUCGCUAGUAAUCGCGGAUCAGAACGCCGCGGUGAAUACGUUCCC